GACAGAGGUGCCGAGCGUUAGGCGGAAUCACUGGGCUUAAAGCGUGUGUAGGCGGACCGUUAAGUACCUUGUGAAAUCCCCCGGCUCAACCGGGGAACGGCUGGGUAUACUGGCGGUCUUGAGCCAUCCAGGGGCAGUCGGAACAGACGGUGGAGCGGUGAAAGUGCGUAGAUAUCGUAAGGAAGACCGGUGGCGAAGGCGGAUCUCUGGACAGUUA
rnacentral:rRNA from 1 species